GCUGUUAUCACAUCUUGUUGUCUUACACUAAAUAAGGUAAAAGAAAAGAACUAGUACACCAAAAUAAAGAAGAAAAAGGAAGAAUACUUCCUUUUUUUUUCACCAAAUAUUUCUCUAACCAGGAUAAGACCCUGAAAAACACACAAAGGUUAAAUUGAUAUUCAGUUUCUCGUUCUUUUUAACACAUGCAUUUAUUUAAAGAGAAAAAUCAUAAAUUUUAUCACUGUGCCUCCACAAGUUUAAUUACUCAAAACAUUGAAGCCAAAAGAGAAAAGGAACACCAAGAUCUUAGCAUCUCCCACAAUCUUAGUCCGCAUGCUGCUCGCAUUAAAACACUUUGACCCCUGAAAACAAAUGCACUUACCAACUUAGAUUCAAAUUCUACUUGCCUUAAAAAACAGGUAUUUAUGCUAGCCGACUAUAUAUACAAAAAGAGAGGGAAGAAAACAGAAGCUCCAAAUCACUCUUCGUUGGUAUGUCUCUCUAACAUUCCCUUGAUCAAAUAUUUGUCCUGCUGCCAGAAUCAUGAAAAUUAGAGACCCCUCCGAUGGAAUCCUGAAAAUUUGUGACCAGUACUCAGAAUCUACAUCUAUCAAGGAUGCAUAAAAUCACAAGUUACAAAUUAAGAUCCAAGAAUCCCUUGAUCAACCAUAUACUCAAUAUGAGAUGGAAAACAACCCCUUAACAGCAAAUCUCCAGUAUCAGUACCAUUUGCAAAGAACAAUGUUUCAUCAAAAAUAAAGUUCCAGCACAAUUGAAUCUCAGACCAACAAUUGCAGAAAUACCAAAGGACAUCACAUACUCCUCAAUCAUAACAAAACAUAACAUUGACGUGGACAUAUACAACAUUGGAGCGAAUUUAAAUUGCCAGCGCAACAGAAUAUAAGAUCUUCAUAAAAAGAAUGGCAAAAAAGCCAAAUUAUAUCAUCAAACUACUCAAUCUUAGACCCACGCCUAACAAAAUACCAACAGCGGCAAAAGACUUAAAAUAUUCCCUCUCAAUCAUAAACUGAUUUCUCUCUCUCUAAUACCGAAGGGAACCUGGACAAAUACAACAUUGGAGGUCUG
rnacentral:misc_RNA from 1 species